AUUCGCUGUAACAAUGGAGUCAUCUUAAGUUCCUCUGUUUAUGUGAUGACCUGCACUGAGCUAAGAAGCAUAAACGAAUAGGACCAAGAAUCCCUUUGCGGUUACGAAGGCUAUUUGCCAGCCUAUUCUGUUGCUGCAUUUACGAAUAUGUUGCCUAGCCUGACCUUGUGAACAGGGUUGCUUAAGAGAUCAAUACUUCGGAGGGUUAUUGUCGUCACCAAGUAGAGCGCUGUUGGUGUGUUUCAAGGAGUGUUUUGAACUUUGAGAUGACUCAGUUAGUUAAGCAGAUCUCACACAAGAGGAGAGAUUAGUUACAUGUGGAAAACUUCCAAAGGACAGAGGAGAAAUCUCAUACUCUAUAGAUGAGAAAGAAAUCUGGGAAUAAUGUCUCAGUGUUUUGCCUGCAGAGAGGUAUGU
rnacentral:lncRNA from 1 species